GGAAGUAAAAGUCGUAACAAGGUCUCCGUUGGUGAACCAGCG
rnacentral:rRNA from 14 species